rnacentral:rRNA from 1 species
UACGUAGGGAGCGAGCGUUGUCCGAAGUUACUGGGCGUAAAGCGCGCGUAGGCGGGCUGUUAAGUGAGAGGUGAAAGGCUGGGGCUUAACCCCAUGCAGUGCCUCUCAUACUGGCGGUCUUGAGUGCGGCAGGGAGAAGUGGAAUGGCUGGUGUAGAGGUGAAAUUCGUAGAUAUUGGGAAGAACACCGGUGGCGAAGGCGGCUAUCUGGACCGACAUUGACGCUGAGGCGCGAAAGCGUGGGGAGCAAACAGG